CACGUAGGGUGCGAGCGUUGUCCGGAAUUAUUGGGCGUAAAGAGCUCGUAGGCGGUGUGUCGCGUCGGCCGUGAAAACCUGCAGCUUAACUGUGGGCUUGCGGUCGAUACGGGCAUCACUGGAGUUCGGCAGGGGAGACUGGAAUUCCUGGUGUAGCGGUGAAAUGCGCAGAUAUCAGGAGGAACACCGGUGGCGAAGGCGGGUCUCUGGGCCGAUACUGACGCUGAGGAGCGAAAGCUAGGGGAGCGAAAAGG
rnacentral:rRNA from 1 species